GGUGGCCGUAGCUCCAUCGCAUUUUAUGUUUCUGGCGAGAAGGGAACGGAGUUUUCAUCAGGUAGAUUGGUUUUUGUGCGGCCGUCCUCCACCGUUUCCUCCAGGACAGCACCUAGUCGUGGCCGGAGGAGUCUCAGAGCUGUCAGAAAGAAAUAAUCGGCUGGGCGUGGUGGCUCAUGCCUGUAAUCUCAGCACUUUGGGAGGCCGAGGCGGGUGGAUCACCUGAGGUCGAGAGUUCAAGACCAGCCUGACCAACAUGGAGAAACCCCGUCGCUACUAAAAAUACAGAAUUAGCCGGGCGUGGUGGCGCAUUCCUGUAAUUCCAGCUAAUUGGGAGGCUGAGGCAGGAGAAUCGCUUAAACCUGGAAGAUGGAGGUUGCGGUAAGCUGAGAUCGUGGAAUUGCACUUCAC
rnacentral:lncRNA from 1 species